UGUUAAUUAAAUAUAUGGGAUAAAUUAAAAUUAAUCCAACUUAUUUUAUCAUUGAUUUUUUUUAGUAUCAAGUAUAACAUAUUCUAAAACUAUAUUGUAAAAUUGAAUAAAUAAAAUUAAUAACUAUUUUUAAAAAAAAAUUAAUAAGCGUUUAAAUAUGAGUAAUUUGGUAUCGAUCACAGGAUCUCAAGGUCACAGGUAAGCUAAGCCUGAAGGGACGAAGAGGCAGAGCAUCGAUGGGAAAGGGAGGAGGUAGAGCAUCGAUGAGGAAGGAAGGAGACGGAGCAGUGCAACAUACCUGAGCCCUCGAGUCGCCAACCGUCACCCUCGAGUCACCACCCUGUGUUGCCUCUGCUAGUCAGAUCCACUGCUCAAAUCACUGCCCCACCAACCAACCAGCGCCAGGCACACAGCCUCCUCCUCCUCCUCCUUAUUCUUCUUCUUUUUGCAAUGCAAAUUAAUUUUAACCUAUCCUUGUGUUUGGAUGUUUGGAUAUUAUAUUUUUUAUUUUAGGUUUUUUUUUUUAGAGAAACGCAUAUCCAGGACAGAAAACGCGUGUCCAAUUUCUAAGAAUUGUGGAAAUGGCCCGGAAACGUUUCCUGGCCGUGUCCUCACAUUUCCAAUGAGGAAACAUUUCUGGAAUGGAGAAGCGCUGACUCCUCCCGUUUUCGUGCAUCAUAGACCAUGACAAAUGGGAAGCCAUAGAUUUGAAGAAAAAUAGCACCUUCUGGUAAACUCAUGUUUCGUAAGGCAGUCUCAGCAUAAGAUAAACAAGAUGGAUUUGGCUGACUUCUAAGUGCUCCAUUUUUCUUGAAUUUAUUCAUUGGCCAUGCAAAUAGUAUAAAUCAACUUAGAAGUAUAGAUAUGAGGUCAACAUAUCUAAGACUGACUAUCACCUUGCUGCAACAAAAAAUAGAAUUGUAGAAGAUCGGUUAUGAUUACACAUAUGAUAAAUCCAAUAUAUAAAGCCUAGCAUAAGUCAAAUGUAGCAACAAUCAAAAUUUUAGACCAAAUCAUAAAAGAUUAUUGCUAACGUCAUAUUUAGUUUUAUGAAUUCAACAAAUAAACAGUAAAAUGUAGCAGAAAUUGAAGCAGAAGGGGUUGUUAAAACCUACUAAUGCGAACAAAACAAAAAGUUUCUAGUAUGAUCAUUUAAGCAAUUCGUUAGCACAACUAAAAUCUAAAUACAUAAUUAAAAAACCACAGUAAAUGUUGAAAAUGCAAAAUAUAAAGAUGCGGCUAAAAAUGCACCAACCAAUCAAAACAGUACAGUAUGAAUUCUAUCAUAUGGUAGGGAAGGCUGUGAUACAGCUCUCCAAUUUGGUUUCCAUACAACUCCUUAAUAAGCCAUACCUGCAAAAGAUGUCUUGUAUUGAAUACCUAUCCUUGCCCCUUCUAAGCAACAAAUCACCUUAUUUCCAGCUCUAUAUGCAUUUUUUUCUUCAUAAUGAUGAACUGGCAUCGUAUUCGAGUCUCCUGGCAUUUGCUUUCUGUCAGCCUCCAUGUGAACCCUCUCUCUUAUUGUAGCUAAUAGUCCAUCAUUCCAAUCUUCGCCAUCUACAUAGAGUUCUUGAGUUUGAGAAGCACGAGCAGCUUCAAAUUCUUUCUGUAGACGCUCAAAUAUCAUCUUGUCAGAAUCCCUAUUGAAAUCAAUGUAAUUAACAAAUCAAAUAUCAUCAUAUGAGCACAUGUUGUUGCGUGACGCAAAGUGAAACUCAAAAUAGCACACACUCACAGUUUUAAUCUCCUAAUCCUAAUAGAAAAAUUAAACUACUAACUAGGAAGUUUAGGUAAACCUAAAUACAUUAGGAAAACCUAAAUAAAAUAGAAAAACAAUUAAAUCCUAGUUGAAGUAGGAAAUUAGAAAUACUGCUAAAUAGAAUAGGAAACACAAAAGAAACUAAAUCUAAAUUAAUAUCUAGCUGAAAUUGGAAGUAAAACUGAAAUAGGUUGCCUUCGGAAGAGUUUUGGGCCAAAAAACAUCAGUUUUUCCUCAAGUCCCACUGCCAGACUGUUGGGACAGAACAUCACACGCCCUGGGCGUGUGAUUAGGACCUGGUACAUCCCCUGGGCAUGUGAGUGUGUACUUCUCUGUGAAAGAUUGCUUGCCACCACGGUUUGUCCCAAAAAUCCCAAAAUAGCACCGUUAUCACCAUGACUGCAAUAAUGCAUAAAUGUUGCCUUUUGCUUUUCAUUAGCAUGUUUGACAUAAUUCUAGACCUUCAAUAGGACAUUAAACACUUUAAAAUUGAUGGCUUCUUGGAGGCAGAAAAGGUAUCAUAAAUGCCAAUUGAUUAACACGAUAAUCUAUUGAAGAACAUAGAUAACCUUCAAUGGCUUGAUUUCUCUUACCUAUCCAAAAUUUAUUUUAUAGAAUGGCUUUUCUCCGUUAAUAAUUUCUCUGACAGGAAAUAAAUAUUGCAUUGGUCACAAGUAGAAUACACACACGCAUGCUCACAUGCGUGUGCAUGUGUGCAGGUACGAACACACAUAUUUCAAAGAACAAGGAAUAGCACAAUAGAGAUUGUCCACGUUCAAAUUUGAGCGUCAUUAAUGUUGAGUGUGUUUUAUAACUUACUAUAGACAACAAAAACUACUAGGAAUAAUGGCUUUGAUUAACUCGGAUAGAAGGAACAUGACUUUGCAUGCACACACUAGUGUGUUUGUUUUUCCAUCCAUUCAAUCAUAGAUAUCCAAUGGUUUUCACAAUCCUAGGAAAUGGUAAAAAAGUCCAGAGAAGCACAUUGAUGACGAAGGUGAAUGAUUCCUUUAAACAUUUACCAGAAAGUUAUACCUAGAAAGACGCUCGGCCAAUUCUGCAUGCCUCUUGAGAACAUUUGAAAAUCUAGCUCGUGUAGUCUCCAACCGAAUAUCUUCCUCUAGCAAGAAACUCACUUCUCCCAUGAUUUGGUAUGGACGAUUGGGAAUCAGUUCAAGUUGCUGCAUAAUCUCGACAUAUAUCAAUCAUCAGUUCAUAAACAGAUUAGCAUUUAUGAAAUUCAAUAGAAGAAUAAGAAUUAUAAAGAAAUUAUAAAGAUUAAACACAUAAAAGGAAAUUGAGAGGAAGUUUGAUAAUUAGAUGAUAGAAAUACAUGAAUCUAAUUCCGAAGCAAUAUAAUGUAAUCAGCCAAACAGAAAUUGGAUAAGAACAAAUAAAAUGAGGGGUAAAAUGGAAAAGUGACCUUGCGAGAAGAGUCUCCUGGGAAUGGGUUCUUCUUUUGCCGCUCACUCAGCUACUCUUCAGCGUCGUUGUCUUGAUGCAGCUUUAGUUUAGAAGUUGGAGGAGGGAGGCCGGUAGAUUUUGAAUUACAGUCCACACACCCACUGCUGAGAGACACACAUAGCCUAUGGUUACAAGAGCUAGACCGGGCCGCGGUCAACGUCUCCCCGGAAUCAGGUCCGUUAAGAGUCCGAACUGAACUGGAAUUGGGACCCCCGGGUCGGGUUCAGUUCACUCCUUAAUUGUUCAAUCGGAUUUGAC
rnacentral:misc_RNA from 1 species